CCUACGGGGGGCAGCAGUGGGGGAUAUUGCACAAUGGGGGGAACCCUGAUGCAGCGACGCCGCGUGGGUGAAGGAGUGCUUCGGCAUGUAAAGCCCUAUCGGCAGGGAAGAAGCAAGACGUUACCUGACUAUGAAGCCCCGGCUAACUACGUGCCAGCAGCCGCGGUAAUACGGAGGGGGCGAGCGUUAUCCGGAUUCAUUGGGUGUAAAGGGAGCGUAGACGGCAAUGCAAGCCAGGGGUGAAAGCCCGGGGCCCAACCCCGGAACUGCCCUUGGAACUGUGCGGCGAGAGUGCGGGAGGGGCAGGCGGAAUUCCUGGUGUAGCGGUGAAAUGCGUAGAGAUCAGGAGGAACACCGGCGGCGAAGGCGGCCUGCUGGACCGCGACUGACGUUGAGGCUCGAAAGCGUGGGGAGCGAACAGGAUUAGAUACCCGGGUAGUC
rnacentral:rRNA from 1 species